GCCAAAACGCGGAAGCAACGUGGAUUUUACGUGCCUACGUUUAUGUCAAACACAUCGUGAUUGGCUCAUGAAGGAGCAGAUACGUGAAACACGCUGCACAUAGCCAUAUGGAGAAAGUAGGUGAGUGUUGAUCAUUUGUUUGGUACCUAUUCCCCCAAGAGGGGUGCCAGUGUCCUGAUGCUGACCAGUGCCACCGGUUCCGCCACUUGGUUCCUGCUGGAGCCUUAGCACCAACUGGAUGAGGGGACUCCUCUCUGUGUUGAAUUCCCGGCUGUCUAAGGCUUUGAAGUGGAGAGUGGUGUCAAACUACAAGACCGCCAGCAUGUAAACAAGGCCUUGUUUGUCCUUGUUUGGCUACUCACCACUCUUCUAAUUCCUGAAGAGGCUGAAGCAUGCUGGCCUUGACACCUCAGUCCUUGCUUCCAUUAACAGCUGUGUUAUGGUCUACUGCAACGGGUGGAUAAGGAGGGCAAAUGACAGGCAGUGUGCUGUGAGGACUGCUGCCCUGAUUCAUACGGAAGAACCAAGCCCGCAAGAUGGUGUUAUCAAGCACACAGAAGGGGGGAAUAUAGCUUAUUGUACCUUAAAUGACAAGUGCUCAUCACAAGCAUUCCAAAAAUAUAUGAUUUAGGCUACUUAAUGUGAUCUGUCUUCGAGUUACACCCUAAAAACUACCAACACUGUCAAA